rnacentral:rRNA from 1 species
AUGGCCGCCCUCCGCCACCUCGCCGGCGCCACCCACAACCACCGCAUCGCGGCCAACUCCUCCUCCCUCUUCGACCUCCAGCGGCCGCCUUCCUGCCUCGCCGCGGCGCGACCCCUCAGCCUCGCGCCCCUCCGCUCCCGCUUCACCCGGCUUUACGCGCUGUCCAGCAACGACAUCAAGGUGGGGUUCAACCUGGAGGUGGACGGCGCGCCGUGGAAGAUUCUUGAGUUUCUCCAUGUCAAACCUGGAAAAGGUGCCGCUUUUGUGAGGACAAAAAUGCGCAAUUAUAUCACUGGCAACACAGUUGAGAAAACCUUUCGAGCUGGAAGUACGAUCCAGGAAGCUUCUAUUUCAAAGGAAACCAAACAAUUCACCUACAAGGAUGGCUCCCAGUUUGUGUUCAUGGAUUUGACGUCCUUUGAAGAGAGCCGCUUAAACGAGUCAGAUGUUGGCGACAGGCAGAAGUGGUUGAAAGAAGGAAUGGACUGCACUUUGUUAUACUGGAAUGGACGGAUCAUUGAUUUUGAUCUUCCCAUCACUGUUAGGCUGACCGUAACCGAGGCUGAUCCAGGGCAAGGUGACAGUGCACAAGGAGGAACAAAGCCUGCAACUCUGGAAACAGGAGCUGUUGUCAAUGUGCCGUCUUUCGUUGAUGUAGGCGAUGAUGUCCUAAUUGACUCGAGAACCGGGCAGUAUAUGAGCCGGGCAUAG